CUGUGCAUGUGUAUUUGAUGAACGCUAAGUCCUUGACCCACAGGCGAAUCGUAUUUCUAGUGAAACGUUACGCUUUGUACAGGGGAACUUACCCAAGGCCGUUACCAUUUGAUAACCAGAUUGUAACAUUUUAAUCUCGUCACAGCCUUUCUUCAAGGUGUCAUUGUGCCUGGUGUCAAUUUUUCUCAGGAUGUGCUGUCUCUGACACUUCACUUGCUUUUAUUCGUUAUACAUGCAACAUACAAAAAUGGCAAAGACAAACCCUAGCCUUGGCAUGCCCAAUGCCAGCACACGAGUGGCCAUAUUUUUAUCAAACAUGAGGUAUGAACAUCUUAUAGCAGGAAUAUCAGGUGGAGUUGCAUCCACAUUGAUUCUUCAUCCUUUGGACUUGAUCAAAAUCAGAUUUGCAGUCAGUGACGGUCAGUUGAGUAUACGACCUCAGUAUUCUGGAUUGUAUGACGCCGUUUGCAGCAUAACUCGAACUGAAGGAAUUCGUGGUCUGUACAGAGGUGUAGCGCCCAAUGUUUGUGGUGCAGGAUUUGCGUGGGGGUCCUAUUUCUUUUUUUACAAUGCCAUCAAAGUAGAAAUGCAAAGUGGAGAUUCAACCGUAGCGCUGAGUCCCGCCAAACAUAUGUUAGCGGCCGCUGAAGCAGGUGUAGCUACCCAAAUCUUGACAAAUCCUAUAUGGGUCGUGAAAACUCGUCUUUGUCUGCAAUAUGGUCCAGAAACAGUUCAUCUCUCAGAUGAAAAGAGAUACAAGGGAAUGAUUGAUGCUCUAGUCAAGAUGUACCGCUAUGAAGGCAUUCGUGGUUUGUACAAAGGAUUCGUGCCAGGAAUCUUUGGCGUCUCACACGGUGCACUUCAGUUUAUGGCUUAUGAGGAAAUGAAAAAUAGUUACAAUAGUUACCGAAAUUUACCUAUCGACACCAAAUUGGCCACGUCUGAGUACCUGUCAUUUGCCGCCCUGUCAAAAUUGUUUGCCGCCACUGCUACUUACCCCUAUCAAGUAGUUCGAGCCCGAUUGCAGGAUCAAUACCGCGACUACAAGGGCGUCAUGGAUGUGAUAUCGCAGACGUGGAGGUACGAAGGUGUCCGCGGAUUUUAUAAAGGCCUGUCGCCCUACAUGGUCCACGUCACGCCCAAUAUUUGUCUGGUCUUCCUUAUUUAUGAAAUGUGCACUGGCGAACGGUGAUGUCCCCUUGAUUCAUAAAACAAAUGAAAGCAAAAUUGCGCAGAAUCGAGUACAAUCGAAUCCCUCCCUCUUGUUUGUGUACGGCCCGUUCGGCCGGGCUAAUUUUAGUUGGAAUUUCCUGUACAUACUAAGAUCAAUAACGAAUCUCGCAUUGUCCGUCUUGUGGCCUAGUUUUGUCAUUUUCGUGAGGAAACGAUCACCUUGUAUCUAUUGUGAGGCAUGAGAGGGUGAGAGGCUUUUACAAGGGAUUGCUCCCUAACUUGUUAAGGGUCACUCCAGCUACAGCCUUGACGUUCGUCGUCUACGAGAAUGUUUCUUACGCGUUGAAAUCGCUAUCCAGAGGCAA